rnacentral:rRNA from 1 species
GACGAACGCUGGCGGCGUGCUUAACACAUGCAAGUCGAACGGAAAGGCCCUGCUUGCAGGGUACUCGAGUGGCGAACGGGUGAGUAACACGUGGGUGAUAUGCCCUGCACUUCGGGAUAAGCCUGGGAAACUGGGUCUAAUACCGGAUAGGAGCCAUUUUUCGUGUGAUGGUUGGAAAGUUUUUUUCGGUGUAGGAUGAGCUCGCGGCCUAUCAGCUUGUUGGUGGGGUAAUGGCCUACCAAGGCGGCGACGGGUAGCCGGCCUGGGAGGGUGGACGGCCACAUUGGGACUGGGAUACGGCCCAGACUCCUACGGGAGGCAGCAGGGGGGAAUAUUGCACAAUGGGCGCAAGCCUGAUGCAGCGACGCCGCGUGGGGGAUGACGGCCUUCGGGUUGUAAACUCCUUUCGCUAGGGACGAAGCUUUUUGUGACGGUACCUAGAGAAGAAGCACCGGCUAACUACGUG